GGGCUAUUAUUUGAAUCUUGUGCUGAGUUACAAACAUUUGUUUUUGAUAGCAUGGCUAGAUCUAUACAUUAACAACAUCUGUAAGGGAAGGUGUCUGUCUGUAGGUGUCUGUCUGUAGGUGUCUGUCUGUAGGUGUCUGUAGGGGAAGGUGUAUGCCUGUAGGUGUCUGUCUGUAGGUGUCUGUCUGUAGGUGUCUGUGGGGGAAGGUGUCUGUCUGUAGGUGUCUGUCUGUAGGUGUCUGUAGGGGAAGGUGUAUGCCUGUAGGUGUCUGUCUGUAGGUGUCUGUCUGUAGGUGUCUGUAGGGGAAGGUGUUUGUCUGUAGGUGUCUGUCUAGGUGUCUGUCUGUAGGUGUCUGCCUGUAGGUGUCUGUCUGUAGGUG
ensembl:lncRNA